rnacentral:tRNA from 1 species
UGUAAGGUGGCUGAGUAUAAAUAGGCGUUGGAUUGUAAUUCCAAUAACGGGUAUAGUACCCCUUUACAG